rnacentral:rRNA from 1 species
GGUUAAGCGACUAAGCGUACACGGUGGAUGCCCUGGCAGUCAGAGGCGAUGAAGGACGUGCUAAUCUGCGAAAAGCGCCGGCGAGGUGAUAUGAACCUUUGACCCGGCGAUGUCCGAAUGGGGAAACCCAGUGCAAUCCGUUGCACUAUCGUUAACUGAAUACAUAGGUUAACGAGGCGAACCGGGGGAACUGAAACAUCUAAGUACCCCGAGGAAAAGAAAUCAACCGAGAUUCCCCCAGUAGCGGCGAGCGAACGGGGAGCAGCCCGGAGUCUGAAUCAGCUUGUGUGUUAGUGGAACGGUCUGGAAAGUCCGACGGUACAGGGUGAUAGUCCCGUACACGAAAGCACACAUGCUGUGAACUCGAAGAGUAGGGCGGGACACGUGGUAUCCUGUCUGAAUAUGGGGGGACCAUCCUCCAAGGCUAAAUACUCCUGACUGACCGAUAGUGAACCAGUACCGUGAGGGAAAGGCGAAAAGAACCCCGGCGAGGGGAGUGAAAAAGAACCUGAAACCGUGUACGUACAAGCAGUGGGAGCCUCUUUAUGGGGUGACUGCGUACCUUUUGUAUAAUGGGUCAGCGACUUAUAUUCUGUAGCAAGGUUAACCGUAUAGGGGAGCCGAAGGGAAACCGAGUCUUAACUGGGCGUUAAGUUGCAGGGUAUAGACCCGAAACCCGGUGAUCUAGCCAUGGGCAGGUUGAAGGUUGGGUAACACUAACUGGAGGACCGAACCGACUAAUGUUGAAAAAUUAGCGGAUGACCUGUGGCUGGGGGUGAAAGGCCAAUCAAACCGGGAGAUAGCUGGUUCUCCCCGAAAGCUAUUUAGGUAGCGCCUCGUGAAUUCAUCUUCGGGGGUAGAGCACUGUUUCGGCUAGGGGGCCAUCCCGGCUUACCAACCCGAUGCAAACUACGAAUACCGAAGAAUGUUAUCACGGGAGACACACGGCGGGUGCUAACGUCCGUCGUGAAGAGGGAAACAACCCAGACCGCCAGCUAAGGUCCCAAAGUCAUGGUUAAGUGGGAAACGAUGUGGGAAGGCACAGACAGCCAGGAUGUUGGCUUAGAAGCAGCCAUCAUUUAAAGAAAGCGUAAUAGCUCACUGGUCGAGUCGGCCUGCGCGGAAGAUGUAACGGGGCUAAACCAUGCACCGAAGCUGCGGCAGCGACGCUUAGGCGUUGUUGGGUAGGGGAGCGUUCUGUAAGCCGUUGAAGGUGUCCUGUGAGGGGUGCUGGAGGUAUCAGAAGUGCGAAUGCUGACAUAAGUAACGAUAAAGCGGGUGAAAAGCCCGCUCGCCGGAAGACCAAGGGUUCCUGUCCAACGUUAAUCGGGGCAGGGUGAGUCGACCCCUAAGGCGAGGCCGAAAGGCGUAGUCGAUGGGAAACAGGUUAAUAUUCCUGUACUUGGUGUUACUGCGAAGGGGGGACGGAGAAGGCUAUGUCAGCCGGGCGACGGUUGUCCCGGUUUAAGCAUGUAGGCGGAGGUUCCAGGUAAAUCCGGUACCUUAUUAACGCUGAGGUGUGAUGACGAGGCACUACGGUGCUGAAGUGAUAAAUGCCCUGCUUCCAGGAAAAGCCUCUAAGCAUCAGGUAACACGAAAUCGUACCCCAAACCGACACAGGUGGUCAGGUAGAGAAUACCAAGGCGCUUGAGAGAACUCGGGUGAAGGAACUAGGCAAAAUGGUGCCGUAACUUCGGGAGAAGGCACGCUGAUAUGUAGGUGAAGCCCCUGCGGGCGGAGCUGAAAUCAGUCGAAGAUACCAGCUGGCUGCAACUGUUUAUUAAAAACACAGCACUGUGCAAACACGAAAGUGGACGUAUACGGUGUGACGCCUGCCCGGUGCCGGAAGGUUAAUUGAUGGGGUUAGCGGCAACGCGAAGCUCUUGAUCGAAGCCCCGGUAAACGGCGGCCGUAACUAUAACGGUCCUAAGGUAGCGAAAUUCCUUGUCGGGUAAGUUCCGACCUGCACGAAUGGCGUAAUGAUGGCCAGGCUGUCUCCACCCGAGACUCAGUGAAAUUGAACUCGCUGUGAAGAUGCAGUGUACCCGCGGCAAGACGGAAAGACCCCGUGAACCUUUACUAUAGCUUGACACUGAACACUGGUCCUUGAUGUGUAGGAUAGGUGGGAGGCUUUGAAGCGUGGACGCCAGUCUGCGUGGAGCCAACCUUGAAAUACCACCCUUUAAUGGCUGGUGUUCUAACGUAGACCCGUAAUCCGGGUUGCGGACAGUGUCUGGUGGGUAGUUUGACUGGGGCGGUCUCCUCCCAAAGAGUAACGGAGGAGCACGAAGGUUGGCUAAUCCUGGUCGGACAUCAGGAGGUUAGUGCAAUGGCAUAAGCCAGCUUGACUGCGAGCGUGACGGCGCGAGCAGGUGCGAAAGCAGGUCAUAGUGAUCCGGUGGUUCUGAAUGGAAGGGCCAUCGCUCAACGGAUAAAAGGUACUCCGGGGAUAACAGGCUGAUACCGCCCAAGAGUUCAUAUCGACGGCGGUGUUUGGCACCUCGAUGUCGGCUCAUCACAUCCUGGGGCUGAAGUAGGUCCCAAGGGUAUGGCUGUUCGCCAUUUAAAGUGGUACGCGAGCUGGGUUUAGAACGUCGUGAGACAGUUCGGUCCCUAUCUGCCGUGGGCGCUGGAGAAUUGAGGGGGGCUGCUCCUAGUACGAGAGGACCGGAGUGGACGCAUCACUGGUGUUCGGGUUGUCAUGCCAAUGGCACUGCCCGGUAGCUAAAUGCGGAAGAGAUAAGUGCUGAAAGCAUCUAAGCACGAAACUUGCCCCGAGAUGAGUUCUCCCUGAGACUUUAAGUCUCCUGAAGGAACGUUGAAGACGACGACGUUGAUAGGUCGGGUGUGUAAGCGCAGCGAUGCGUUGAGCUAACCGAUACUAAUGAACCGUGAGGCUUAACCUU